CUGCCAAUAAUUUGGAGUACAGAAAUAUUUGAGGACUGAGUUUAAUUGCACAGACAGGCAGGACCUAAUUACCAAAUUAGUUGGCAGCUUACUCCCCAAUUUUCAGAUAAGCAGAGUUCAAGACAAAACCACUCUCCCUGUAAUCUCCUGACCUUUCACAACUGAUGCUUCUAAUUCCCACCAACUCAUGUAAUCUAAAUGCUCUGCUCUGGCACUCAGUCUUACCCAGUUCCCCAAACUUCUUGCUCUCCUGUCCCUUGCUCUUUCAUUUCCUGAUACUACUAGUCACUACUCUUUUUUUGGGGAAACUACUUGCUUAGCUCUUAUGUCCUGACCUUCAGUUAUCCUGUUGUCAACUCACUUAUAUUAUUUCUUGUUUCCUCCCAAGUAGCAUUUCAUUAUAAUCAGCAUUUUCACAUUUGCAUUAGCAUAUUUUUUAUAAAGAAGAAAAAGGGGAACAUGAGCAUAACAUAUUCCUAAGGGGGAGAAUUCAUCCCAAAGAUUUAAUCAAUCACUCUAAAGUACUUAAAGCAGAUUUAUACUUGUCACUGGACUAGGUAGUCAAGAUUGAAAUGGCUCCUUUCAUGAAGAAUUUAGUUUAUAGGUUGUCGCUAAAGUAAUUUCUAAUGCUUUUAAUGACAAUAGAAGUUUCCUAAAACAUUCUCAAGUAAUUACAUCCUGGGGACCAUACUCCAGUCAACUUUGAGGCAGAAAAAGGCUAUUAUGUCCAAGAGCUUACCACCAGAUCACACAUGUUUUUCAUCUAAUAGAAUUCUUCUAAUGUUUUCCUUUCUUCAAAUGGUUUUCAUUAAUAAAAAUCCUCUAUAGAGCAAUAAGAUGUGGUCUCUACCAGGCUUUUUCUACAUCAUUAGGUUUCUGUUACCUAUUAGAAUAAGUCCUGCUUGGAGAUUUUCUCUCAUUUCCAGGUUCCUUUCCAAUGGGAAGUUUCUGAUGUUUAAGAGCUGUGUGCCCAUUGAAGGCCUUUCCACAGCUGCGACAUUCAAAGAGUUUCUCUCCAGUGUGAAUUAUCUGGUGACGAAAUAAAGUGUGAAUUCUGACUGAAGGCCUUCCCACAAUCAAGGCACUCAUAGGAUUUCUCUCCAGUAAGAACACAAUAGUGUUUAAUAAGAUCUGAGCUUCCCUAACAUAUUUCCCACAUUCAUUGCAUAUGUAAGUUUUUUCUCCACUAUGAAUUCUAUAUCUCAUAAGGUCUGAGCCCUGAUGGAAAGUUUUCCCACAUUCUUUACAUUCAUAUGGUUUCUCUCCCAUAUGAGUUAAAUGACGAGUGAUGAGGUUUGAUCUGCCUUAGAAAGUUCUACCACACUGAUAAGCUUUCUCUUCUUGGUGAAUUCUUUGCUCUUCUCUAAACAACUCAUCCUUACUGAAUGUUUUCUUACUUUCUUUCAUUUUCUCUCAAGUAUGACACUUUUGAUGUUUGAGAAAAGCUGUGUGCCAGAUAAAUGGUUUUCCACAUGCCUUACAUUCAUAGGGUUUGGAUUCUCAGAUAUUGAUUAAGGUGUGAACGCUGCUGGAAGACUUUCCCUCAUUCUUUGCACUGAUAGGGUUUCUCUCCAGUAUGAAUUUUCUGAUGUGUAACAAGAUUUCUUUUCCCCACACAGAGAUGUGUCCCAGUGCCCAGGAUUAUCGAGGGAGUGCCUCUGUAGCUUCUUCUUGGAUCACGUGUCCAACCCUGGGCCAAUCCCUGUUUCCGGGGAAUGGGGUGCUUUGAUUGGCCAGCUGGAUUUACAUGUUGGAAUGUGGGAAGGGAGCCUUUACUACAAGGGCCCAUAAGCCGAUGGCAAGAAAAGACAUUUUUGUUUGUUAGGUAUUAUUUUUACCAGAAAAACGAGACAGCUCUUUGGACAGGCAAAGUAGCAGAUGUCUACUCCGAGGGGCUGUAGGGGAAGAGAGUUACUGGCAGCAGGAGCUACAUGUGCCAGGUCCUGCGCCAGCUGACAGGUCGCCUAAGAAACUGAAGACCAAUGUAGGUGGUCAACAAGAGGGGUGCAGGGUGGCAUGAGAUGAGCUUGGAAAGAUCAGACCACAGAAUAUUUGGAAAACCAUCGGUAGACUUUUUGGCCAUAUCCCAAGGGCAAAAGGAGGUGUUAGGGGUUAAAUGGGGCUGGGAAAGUGAGGAGAGGGAGCUAGACCCUAGAAACUGCGAGAGAGAAUGAAAUGAUUGUUGUGUUAAGCCAGUAAAUGGGUUAUGUAGCAACGGAUAAACAAGAACGUGAAGCAUCUGUCAUUAUUAUGUAUUUCCUCUGCCAUGUUCUCAAUCGUCAGUGGCUUUGCUUGUGAUUCAAGCAAUUUCCCCCACCGCUUUUAUGAACUGUGUGGAAACCCUUCUUCCUUUGUUGCAAGAUUUGCAGUUUUACUUUGAAAUAAAUUUUCCUUGCACAGUAUUUUUAUUUUUAUCAUACAACGUUUACAUCGCCGGAGGGGACCAACAUGAAUAUUAAGUGCGGAGGGAUUUUUGCAAGGGGACUAAUUGGAAGUUGAUGGGUGAAUAUUUUCAUGUUUUGAUGAAUUUUCCCUAUCCAGGCUCAUAAAUGUGGAGAUGUAGCUAAUGAGUAUUUGAAAAUUGAGCCAUGUUUAGGGCAGGUGUGCUUGGUUGCAAUAGACAGUGAGGAAACUUGAUUCCCUUCACUGUCAGAGUGAUGGUUUUAGGUUGCCCUUGAAAGCUUCUCAAUAAUCCAUGGCCCCUUUCGUAAUAGUUAUUAAUGUCCCUGAAUCACAGAGAUAAAAGGCACUGUAAGAUCAUAAUCUUGUAUCUUU